rnacentral:rRNA from 1 species
UACGUAGGCAGCAAGCGUUGUUCGGAGUUACUGGGCGUAAAGAGUGCGUAGGCGGUGCUCUAAGUUUGGUGUGAAAUCUCCCGGCUCAACUGGGAGGGUGCGCCGAAAACUGGAGUGCUUGAGUGUGGGAGAGGCAAGCGGAAUUCCUGGUGUAGCGGUGAAAUGCGUAGAUAUCAGGAGGAACACCUGUGGCGAAAGCGGCGCACUGGACCACAACUGACGCUGAGGCGCGAAAGCUAGGGGAGCAAACAGG